UACAGAGGUCUCAAGCGUUGUUCGGAUUCAUUGGGCGUAAAGAGCUCGUAGGCGGUUCGUCGCGUCGGCUGUGAAAUCCCGAGGCUCAACCUCGGGUCUGCAGUCGAUACGGGCGGACUGGAGUUCGGCAGGGGAGACUGGAAUUCCUGGUGUAGCGGUGAAAUGCGCAGAUAUCAGGAGGAACACCGAUGGCGAAGGCAGCUCACUGGGACGGUACUGACGCUGAGACGCGAAAGCGUGGGGAGCAAACAGG
rnacentral:rRNA from 1 species